UGGGGAAUAUUGCACAAUGGGCGCAAGCCUGAUGCAGCCAUGCCGCGUGUGUGAAGAAGGCCUUCGGGUUGUAAAGCACUUUCAGUCGUGAGGAAGGUAGUGUAGUUAAUAGCUGCAUUAUUUGACGUUAGCGACAGAAGAAGCACCGGCUAACUCCGUGCCAGCAGCCGCGGUAAUACGGAGGGUGCGAGCGUUAAUCGGAAUUACUGGGCGUAAAGCGCAUGCAGGUGGUUUGUUAAGUCAGAUGUGAAAAGCCCGGGGCUCAACCUCGGAAUAGCAUUUGAAACUGGCAGACUAGAGUACUGUAGAGGGGGGUAGAAGUUUCAGGUGUAGCGGUGAAAUGCGUAGAGAUCUGAAGGAAUACCGGUGGCGAAGGCGGCCCCCUGGACAGAUACUGACACUCAGAUGCGAAAAGCGUGGGGAGCAAAACAGGAUUAGAUACCCUGGUAGUCCACGCCGUAAACGAUGUCUACUUGGAGGUUGUGGCCUUGAGCCGUGGCUUUCGGAGCUAACGCGUUAAGUAGACCGCCUGGGAGUACGGUCGCAAGAUUAAAA
rnacentral:rRNA from 1 species